rnacentral:rRNA from 1 species
CCCUUAGAUGUUCUGGGCCGCACGCGCGCUACACUGAUGCAUUCAACGAGCCUAUCCUUGACCGACAGGUCCGGGUAAUCUUUGAAUCUGCAUCGUGACGGGGAUAGAUUAUUGCAAUUAUUAAUCUUCAACGAGGAAUGCCUAGUAGGCGCAAGUCAUCAGCUUGCGUCGAUUACGUCCCUGCCCUUUGUACACACCGCCCGUCGCUACUACCGAUUGGAUGGUUUAGUGAGGCCCUCGGAUCGGCCCCGCCGGGGUCGGCCCACGGCCCUGGCGGAGCGCUGAGAAGACGGUCGAACUUGACUAUCUAGAGGAAGUAAAAGUCGUAACA